UGGGGAAUAUUGCACAAUGGGGAAACCCUGAUGCAGCGACGCCGCGUGAAGGAAGAAGUAUCUCGGUAUGUAAACUUCUAUCAGCAGGGAAGAUAGUGACGGUACCUGACUAAGAAGCCCCGGCUAACUACGUGCC
rnacentral:rRNA from 1 species